rnacentral:rRNA from 1 species
UUUAUUGGAGAGUUUGAUCCUGGCUCAGGACGAACGCUGGCGGCAUGCCUAAUACAUGCAAGUCGAGCGGACUUG